GCCAGACUCCUACGGGAGGCAGCAGUGGGGAAUAUUGCACAAUGGGGGGAACCCUGAUGCAGCGACGCCGCGUGGGUGAAGGAGUAUUUCGGUAUGUAAAGCCCUAUCAGCAGGGAAGAACAAUGACGGUACCUGACUAAGAAGCACCGGCUAAAUACGUGCCAGCAGCCGCGGGAAUACGUAUGGUGCAAGCGUUAUCCGGAUUUACUGGGUGUAAAGGGAGCGCAGGCGGCGCGUUAAGCCUGGUGUGAAAGCCCGCGGCCCAACCGCGGGACUGCAUUGGGAACUGGCGCGCUGGAGUGCCGGAGGGGUAGGCGGAAUUCCUAGUGUAGCGGUGAAAUGCGUAGAGAUUAGGAAGAACUCCAGUGGCGAAGGCGAUUCUCUGGACUGUAACUGACGCUGAGGCUCGAAAGCGUGGGGAGCACACAGGAUUAGAUACCCGAGUAC
rnacentral:rRNA from 1 species